rnacentral:lncRNA from 1 species
AUCAAUUUGCUAGACCAACCAACAGCGUUAGAUGCUUUGAUAAUUCUGAUGUGCUGUUCAUGUAAAGCUGGUUGUGCCAAAAAAGAUGUUCAUGUGUUCAACAAGGUUUAUCCUGAACAGAUAGCUGUAUGUUAAUGCUCGAAAGCUUGUAGAUAUAAGCAUUAUCAAAUCGUUGAUAUUGCUAACGAUGACGACGAAGAUGAU